rnacentral:rRNA from 1 species
UGGGGAAUUUUGGACAAUGGGCGAAAGCCUGAUCCAGCAAUGCCGCGUGUGUGAAGAAGGCCUUCGGGUUGUAAAGCACUUUUGUCCGGAAAGAAAUCCUUGGCUCUAAUACAGUCGGGGGAUGACGGUACCGGAAGAAUAAGCACCGGCUAACUACGUGCCAGCAGCCGCGGUAAUACGUAGGGUGCAAGCGUUAAUCGGAAUUACUGGGCGUAAAGCGUGCGCAGGCGGUUUGCUAAGACCGAUGUGAAAUCCCCGGGCUCAACCUGGGAACUGCAUUGGUGACUGGCAGGCUAGAGUAUGGCAGAGGGGGGUAGAAUUCCACGUGUAGCAGUGAAAUGCGUAGAGAUGUGGAGGAAUACCGAUGGCGAAGGCAGCCCCCUGGGCCAAUACUGACGCUCAUGCACGAAAGCGUGGGGAGCAAACAGGAUUAGAUACCCCUGGGUAGUCCACGCCCUAAACGAUGUCAACUAGUUGUUGGGGAUUCAUUUCCUUAGUAACGUAGCUAACGCGUGAAGUUGACCGCCUGGGGGAGUACGGUCGCAAGAUU